rnacentral:rRNA from 1 species
AGAAAUCAACAGAGAUUCCCCUAGUAACGGCGAGCGAACGGGGAAGAGCCCAUCGCCCAAUCCGCCGCCCGAACGGGCGGUCCGGAAAUUUGGCGUAUGGGAGAGACGCUUUCGGGUGCCGCCUCCGGUGCAAGUCCCCCUGACCGGGGCUCCCACCCCGAGAGGGUGCAAGGCCCGUAGCGGCCGGAAGGCGGUCCCGGAUGUCCUCUCCCGGGAGUCGGGUUGCUUGAGAGUGCAGCCCCAAUCAGGUGGUAAACUCCAUCUAAGGCUAAAUACGACCUGGAGACCGAUAGCGAACAAGUACCGUGAGGGAAAGUUGAAAAGGACUUUGAAGAGAGAGUUCAAGAGUACGUGAAACCGUUCGGAGGUAAACGAGUGGGCCCUCGAAGUGUGAAGGCGGGGGGACUCAGCCGAACGCCGUCGAGCCCGCCGGCGGGUCCGCGCUUCCCUCCCGGGACGCGGCCCGCCGGUGUGCUGGCUCCGGCUUGCGGCGCAUUUCCUCCCGUCCUCCGACGCCGCGACCGGUCGGGCGCGCCACGAGCAGUCGGCCUUACUCGCGGGAAACGGAAGGUAGCCGGGUCGGCGCGCACGCGCCGCUCCCCGGUGUUCUAGCCGUCCCGCAAUCGAGUCAGCCGUUCGCCCGACCGCAGGAACCAAGGCCCUCAGGGGCCCCGCCGUGCCCUCCCCGCUCGGGGAUCGCUUCCCGCCUCGGAAGGGAUGCCGCUUGUUUCCGCGCCGCACCUCCGGUGCGCGCGGGACGGCGGCGCCCGCUGGCCGGGGCGUUUGCGAUUCGGGUGCUGGCGGUCUGCGGCGAGUAGGUCGGUCACCCACUCGACCCGUCUUGAAACACGGACCAAGGAGUUUAACAUGCACGCGAGUCACUGGGUCGUGAGCAGGCCCAAGGGCGCAAUGAAAGUGAAGGGCGGCCCAUGCCGUCCGCGUUGGGAUCCUCCGGCCUCCGUGCCGGGGGCGCACCAACGGCUCGUCCGGGCCGCCACGUCGGCCGGGCGAAGCUAGAGCGUGCACGUUGAGACCCGAAAGAUGGUGAACUAUGGCUGGGCAGGACGAAGCCAGAGGAAACUCUGGUGGAGGUCCGCAGCGGUUCUGACGUGCAAAUCGAUCGUCAGACCUGGCUAUAGG